rnacentral:lncRNA from 1 species
UGGUCUUCCAAGAUCGCACGGCCUCAUCUGCUGGCUGCCGUUCCCUCUGCUGCCGUUGCUGUCUUCUCGAAGCUCUAUUGGCCGCAAUGACCUGAUGAGCUUCCAAGACCCCAUGGCUGCAUUGACGGGUUGUUUCCCUCUGCUGCCAUUGCUAUCUUUGUGAAGCUCUUCUGGCCAUGGUACCUUGAUGAGCUUUCGAGAUCCCAUGGCCGUGCUUUAGGUGGUGGCCGUUCCCCAAGCCAAGAUCGCAGACUUGCUCUUCUGGCCCAGUGCACUGAGGAUGAGCGUCCCCAAUCCCAAGCUCUUCCUGCACAGUGCCUUGAUGAUGAGAUUCAAAGGCUGCGUCUUCUGCCUUAUGGCAUAUCUAUCUGGCUGUUUCCUCCGUCGAGCCCAUCUCCAGCCCUAAUGCUAUAAGACAAGCUCAGUCCUCCCGAGCCUCCUCCACCUGGCUCCCUCAUUCUCAAUGAAGGCUCAGUCUUGUUAGGCUCCCUCAUGGAGAGCCUGAGGCCGGGGGGCUCAGAUUGUCUUGUAGGGAAGAGCUCUAUUUGAAGUUUGGAGAAGGUGAGCCCUCAUCCUUGGUUGAAUUCUUAGGGUUUGAGUGCUUAUCACUUUGAUUAGAUACAGGAGUUAUAUCAAUGUUAUCUGUUUCAGGAGCUGCUUGUGUCUGAUUUUUAUUUUAAUUUCACUUCUUUUCUAGAUGUACUGCAGCUUCCUUUUCAUUUUUUUAUGCAUGGAAAAAUUUUCUUGCUAUACCAUCAUAGAUCUUUUGUUCUUGUAAUCAUUGAUAUUUCUACUGCUAUGGUGUCUUUAUUGUUGAAUUUCAUUAUGUAGCUCUGAUAUAUUAGGUUAUAUUUAGGUGCCUUACAGGCUAUGUUGUUUUGUCGAUAAAAGAUUAUCAUCUUCUCUAUUUGUCUUAACAUUUGUAGGGGUUUGUAGGGGUUUUUCUUUCUGUUCAUUUGCAGCUGACGAUUAUAUACAAGCUGCACGGUUUCACUAGGGCUGCUCAGUCUUUUAAACUAUGAUGCAUAUUCUAGGCCUUACAGGUUACAUGCCUUUCUUUUUUCUUUUGUAAAAUUGUUUGUCGAAAUUUGGCAUCAGGGGUUAUUAACAACCGGCUGUAAGAUUCAGCUCAGUCCUUUUGUAGGGGCUUCUUGAUGCAGAGUUCUGGCAUCAUAUUUUUGAUGUCAAAAGAUUUGAAUAACAAUUAUAAUGAUGAUUGUUUCUAUAUAAUAUACAAACAAUAUGUUUAUCAUGUAAUGGGGGAAUGCGAUCAUGCCCUCAGUGUUUUUUUGCAGUUGUGCAAUGCAACCAUGCAGUUGCCCCUACUGUGUUCGUGCUUUCAUACGACAUUUAUGUUUUACAUGGAACUUCAAAGCUAAUUUUAGUAAAUAUGUAUAGACAUAUCAAGUAUGAAGUUGAUUAUAGAGUUGCUUGAUGGAUAAAUUGGACUGCUUUUUUGGUGUGGGUUCUUGAAAGUUUCUUUUAUUGGAAGCUUGCAAUUUAGGAUAUGCAAUUAUUUUUCUGGAGAGUAUUUCUGAAAUGCUAAUAUGUAGUUAAUUAUCUCAUCACCAUAAUCAGUAUAGAUCAUCUUCCAUGUGCUAUUGUCUCUUAGGAAACUCAUUGGGGUCGCAUUCCUUUUGCUUCUAUAGUGGGAACGAAAUGGAAGGCUACAUGGAAACCGUUGAAAGCUGUCUAAUGAAAAAGAGCGGCCUAGUGCAUGAGGCUUCCACCAUUGUGGGGUCUACGGAUGCUCAAAUGUGUGCAGCCUUACCCUCGUGUGAGAGGCUCUUUCUGUGUUUCGAAUCUGUGACUUCUAGGCCACAAUGGAGCAAUAUAUUGCCCCAAGGCUUACGCUCUGAAAACUGUACAUUGAUAGAUUAAAAAAGAAAGGAAAUUCUGGGUAAAUUUUCUUCAAGUUGUUCAUACUACCUGUUAUUUUGGAAGCUUUUUCUUCUCUAUCCGUGUUCUUUUUGAUCAUUUGAAGUUUUGAAUUUGGAUCACUACUGUGACUGUGGUGUGCCUUAUCUCUAGUCACUCAGACCUUAUCUUUUUAGUGGGGGUUUCUUUUGGGGCUUCAGGGAAAAAUUGUUGGAUUGAGUUAGUUCUUUUCCAGUUAGGCCAUCAUUUUGACUACACAUAAUUCUUUUCAACUACUGCAAAAUUCAUGUUGAUGUCUCCAUGCAACUUUCUUUUAGAAAUCUAUAGAAUGAGAUCCAUGAGAUAAUACAUGUGCUUUGACCAUGCUUUUUUAAUUGUUGUAUUUAUGAUUUCAUAUACUGCAAGAAGGAUGUUUUUUGUAAAGCUUGUCACUAUCAUUGUGAAAAUUUGGGAGAAAAAUCCAACAUUAAAAGGAUUAGGGCUGCCGCAUAUGGAGAUCUUCCGGCUUCAAGAUGCUGAUGGAUCUAAGACCCUCUUGCUGAAGAAUGGGUGACCUGCUAUCCCUCUGCCGCUAUCGCCGCCUUCAUUGGCUCUUCAUGCAUUGGUGCUCUGAUGACCAUCUAAUACGGUAGGCCGCUGUUCCAUCCGCCUCCAUUGCCUUUGUCUUUUGGCUCUGUCCUGUCGAUUCCAUCCAUCACCAUCACCGUCUUCAUUGCUCUGCCACCCUCGGUGCAUCGAGCAUCCAAAGGACUCUGCGUUGGAAUGUGUUGGUUGGUUCUUCUGGCUUCGGGGCAUGAAUGAGCAUUCGAGAUACGCAUGGUCGUGGUGGUUGGUGGUUCUCCCCUCUAGUGCUAUUGCCGGUGCCUUUUUUGGUGGCUCUUCGGAUGCCAUGGCCUUGUUAAGCCUCGCAGCCUGAUAAAGCUCAAAACACCUGAUGGCCGCAUUGCCAUGGCCAUGUUUAUCCUCUCUUAAAUCUUCACGGCUGAUAAUUUCCAAAAGACCCAAUGGCCACAUUUGCUCAGCACCCUUAUGGUCUUCCAAGAUCGCAUGGCCGCAUCUGCUGGCUGUCAUUCCCUCUGCUUCUGUUGCUGUCUUCUUGAACUUCUACUGGCCGCAAUGACCUGAUGAGCUUCCAAGACCCCAUGGCUGCAUUGACCGGUUGUUUCCUUCUGCUGCCGUUGCUGUCUUUCUGAAUCUUUUCUGGCCAUAGUGACCUGAUGAGCUUUCAAGAUCCCAU